AUUGAACGCUGGCGGCAUGCUUUACACAUGCAAGUCGAACGGUAACAGCACUUCGGUGGCUGACGAGUGGCGAACGGGUGAGUAAUACAUCGGAACGUGCCUAGUAGUGGGGGAUAACUACUCGAAAGAGUAGCUAAUACCGCAUGAGAUCUAAGGAUGAAAGCAGGGGACCUUCGGGCCUUGCGCUACUAGAGCGGCUGAUGGCAGAUUAGGUAGUUGGUGGGAUAAAAGCUUACCAAGCUGACGAUCUGUAGCUGGUCUGAGAGGACGACCAGCCACACUGGGACUGAGACACGGCCCAGACUCCUACGGGAGGCAGCAGUGGGGAAUUUUGGACAAUGGGCGCAAGCCUGAUCCAGCAAUGCCGCGUGCAGGAUGAAGGCCUUCGGGUUGUAAACUGCUUUUGUACGGAACGAAAAGCCCUCUUCUAAUACAGGAGGGUCAUGACGGUACCGGAAGAAUAAGCACCGGCUAACUACGUG
rnacentral:rRNA from 1 species